GCCUCCAUUGCGAUCUGCGAGUUGCGACGGGAGGACCGGAUAAGCCACGUCACUCCUCCGCCUGUUCUGCGCUGUUUCUCCGUCGAAAACACCACAAACAAAGCAAAACUUCCAAUGGCCGAACCGGCGGCGGCGCCCGCCGGGAUCGACCCGCGCAGCGGAUUCUUCGCGGCCACGCGGACCUUCCACAGCGUCCGCUCCGCCUCGGCGGGCGCGCUGCCGCCGGAGGCGCUCCCGGUCACGGCCGCGGCCUACGCCUUCUCGCUGCUCGCCUCCCCGCUCCCCGACCGCCCCGCGCUCGUCGACGCCUCCACCGGCAUUGCCGUCUCCUACCCGUCCUUCCUCGCCGCCGUCCGCUCCCUCGCGGGCGGCCUCUGGUCCUCCCUCGGCCUCCGCCCCGGGGACGUGGCGCUCGUCGUCGCGCCCUCGCGCCUCGACGUCCCCGUGCUCCACUUCGCGCUCAUGUCCAUCGGCGCCGUCGUGUCCCCCGCCAACCCGGCCUCCACCCCCGAGGAGUACGCGCACCAGGUCGCCCUCUCAAGGCCCGUCGUCGCCUUCGCCGCGCCCGAGGUCGCCGCCAAGCUGCCCGCCCACGUCAGGUCCGUCGUCCUCGGGUCCGAUGCGUACGAGAGGCUGGUGUCUGCAUGCGCGGGGUCCGCUCCCCCGCCGAUGGCGGUGAAGCAGUCAGACACGGCGGCCGUGCUCUACUCGUCGGGAACGACCGGCAGGGUGAGGGCCGUCGCCAUCACGCACCGCAACCUCAUCGCACUGAUGUGCACGCACUCCGAGAACCGGAAGAGGGCGGCAGCGGAGGCCACCGAGGCGGGCGAGGAGCCGCCGCCGCCGGCCGUCACGCUGCUCCCGCUCCCCCUGUUCCACGUCUUCGGGUUCAUGAUGGUCCUGCGCUCCGUGUCCAUGGGGGACACGACCGUGCUCAUGGAGCGCUUCGACUUCGGUGCCGUGCUGCGGGCGAUAGAGCGGUACCGCGUCACGCUGCUGCCCGCGGCGCCGCCGGUCCUGGUGGCCAUGAUCAAAUCCGAGGAGGCGCGCCGCCACGACCUCUCGUCGCUCCUCGUCAUCGCUGUCGGCGGCGCGCCCCUUGGCCGGGAGGUCGCCGAGCGCUUCGCCGCUAUCUUCCCCAGCGUCCAGAUUGUUCAGGGCUAUGGUCUGACGGAAUCAUCUGGCGCUGUCGCCGGGACGGUAAGGCCGGAGGAGUCCAUGAAGUACGGCUCCGCCGGCAAGCUGGGGUCGCGCCUGCAGGCGAAGGUAGUCGAUCCGGCUACCGGCGAGGCGCUCGGGCCGGGCCAGCGCGGCGAGCUCUGGAUUAGGGGCCCACUCGUCAUGAAAGGUUAUGUUGGCGAUUACAAAGCAACUGCAGAAACAGUGGACUCAGAUGGCUGGCUGAAAACUGGCGACCUUUGCUACUUCAAUGAAGAUGGAUUUCUCUACAUUGUUGAUCGUUUGAAGGAGUUGAUAAAGUACAAAGGAUACCAGGUGCCUCCAGCUGAACUGGAGCAUAUUCUAACAUCACAUCCUGGAAUUGCUGAUGCUGCAGUUAUCGGCAUGUGGCAGUAUAUAAGAUGCCCCCUCCUAUGCACUAUGCAGAUAUCCAGAUGAAGAUGCUGGGCAAGUGCCAAUGGCUUUUAUAGUGAGGCAACCAGGUUUAAACCUUACUGGCCAACAAGUCAUAGAUUACGUGGCUAAACAUGUUGCGCCCUACAAGAAAGUCCGCCGAGUGGCCUUCGUAGCGGCAAUACCCAAAUCUCCUGCGGGGAAGAUCUUGCGGCGGGAGCUUGUGCAGCAGGCCAUGUCCAUGGGUGCCUCCAAGCUUUGAGAUGUAAUUCGCUGUGCAGAUUUAGACGAUUUCUUUUUAGAGAGGAGGCGCUUGCCCGGCUUUAGCAAACUGAAGCCCUUAUAGCGUUUAUAACAAGGAAUAAAAAAGGUAACAAAAAUAAAAGGAUACAACACUAUUCUUGUCCGAAAAAUUGAACCUCAAAUGCUCACCCUAUUUCCCUGUAAACACCGUGUAGCCCUUGGGACGAAAUGUAAUUUCUUUUGAGUGAAGAGGGUGCAAGGAUCGUUCGUUCGUGCAGAGUCUGAUAGAACAUGUCUGUUGCAAGGAUGGUUGAAAAGCUAUUUGCUAUUGAUGAAUUCACUCAGGUUUGUCAUCUGA